AAUAGCCUAACGGCUGAACCAGCAACUUGGAGGAAUGUAUAGCGAUAGCUAAUUGCAUCGAAAUGCAAGAUCGAUUUAUUGAAUAAAAUUCUGGGUAGAAUUAUGAUUAUGACAUUGUCUACCCAUGUGUCUUGACCAAAUUACGUGCCAGCAGUCGCGGUAAUACGUAGAAGACUAGUGUUAUUCAUCUUUAAUAGGUUUAAAGGGUACCUAGACGGCAAAUCAAGCCCUACGGGACUAAUUUGCUAGAGUUACUUGUGAGGGGGUUUUAAAGUACUAAUGGUGUAGAGAUGAAAUUUUGUAAUACCAUUUUUCGAAAGAAAGUAAUGGCACAGGUAUAGGCGAAAGCAUCCCCUUAUGUGAUAGCUUUGAGUCGCGAACAGGAUUAGAUACCCUGGUAGUCAAAGCAGAAAAUAAUGAGUGUCAUAGAUUAGUUUAUUCUAUAAAUAAAAGUGUAAGCACUCCACCUCAAGAGUAAUUUGGCAACAUUGGAACUGAAAUCAUUAGACCGUUUCUGAAACCAGUAGUGAAGUAUGUUGUUUAAUUUGAUAAUCCGCAAAAAACCUUACCAUGAAUAUUUACAAGCGUUGCACGGCUGUCUUCAGUUAAUGUCGUGAGAUUUUGGUUAGAUCCAUUAAAUUAACGCAAGCCCUUACUUUAUUUUAAAAUAAAGUCGUUCCCCACUAGAUUGGAUAAGAUAACAGGGAUUAAGACAAGUCAUCAUGGCCUGAAUAUUAUAAACCUUUACAAAAGGAUGUGAAAUUGUAAAAUUGAGCUAAUCCCUAAAACUGGAUAUACAAUAUCA
rnacentral:rRNA from 1 species